UGGCCAUAACAUACUGAAACACCAAUUCUUGUAUGAUCACCAAAGUUAAGCAACAGUGAGCCAGGUCAGUACCUACAUAGGUGACCUUUUGGGAAUACCAGGUGCU